rnacentral:misc_RNA from 1 species
GGGAUAUGGAGUUUUAAAUGGAACAAAUAAGUGACAAAUAUGCUAUUCUUAGAGAUAAUUGACACUGAUUUGGCAAAAGCAGUGAGUGUUCCUGGUUAUCUUUGGUUCUCAUUAAAAGCUAUAUCAAUGGAAUAUGUUCUCUGAUUGUACAAUCAAUGGCCAAAGUUCGUCCUCUGUAUUUUCUUGGUGUGAGACUGCAUCAAAUGUAAAGAAAUCUUAUAUUUCC